UACGUAGGGUGCAAGCGUUAAUCGGAAUUACUGGGCGUAAAGCGUGCGCAGGCGGUUCCGCAAGUCAGAUGUGAAAUCCCCGGGCUCAACCUGGGAACUGCAUUUGAAACUACGGAGCUAGAGUGUGUCAGAGGGGGGUGGAAUUCCACGUGUAGCAGUGAAAUUCGUAGAUAUUCGGAGGAACACCAGUGGCGAAGGCGGCUCACUGGUCCAUUACUGACGCUGAGGUGCGAAAGCGUGGGGAGCAAACAGG
rnacentral:rRNA from 1 species